AUGACUUACAGAUGUACUCUUAAAAUAAUGACUUGACAUAUUUAUAUGUAUACCGUUAGUUUAAUGUCUUACCUAAUCAUCCAACAAACUAAUUCAAUGUUGUUUGCGAUGCAUUAAAUGAACAAAAGAUAAACUGGGUAUUAGAGAAUCCAGAGAGCCUAGUGGCCCAUGAAAUCACUGGAUUUGCAAAGUUAUUUUCUCUUCAGCGCUGUGCACUAUCUCAGAACAAAAUCUGUUGGCAAAGCACUUUAUUGGCAACCAAUGGGUUAGAAUAUAGAGACAUUAGGAAUGCCACAUGGGGUCCAACCAAUGCUCCAUCCAGGCCAGCCUAGUGCAAAAGCAACAUGAGAGGAUUUUGGAGAGCGAGGUUGCCCGAUGUGGUAUUAGUUUGUAGUGUUGGAAUUAUUUAAAAUAUCUUCCCAAAAUCAUUUUGUGAACUAACAUGUAACUCUAAUCUAUCAUUUCAGACAAAUCCCUUGAUUUUUUCCCACAGCUCUCCCUCUUUGUGUUAGAGUUCCAUAAAUGUAAUGCCCACUAUGUGAAGAGAAAAUUAACAUUCCCCUUUUUCUACUUGCAGACUUCCAAACAUUUCCUGAAACCUUAAACUCUUACUGAUUCUUUAAACUGUCCCCAUUCCACUUUUCUCUGCAGCAAGUAGCUCUCAAUGUGUAGUCCUCAGAUGGGCAGCAUCCACUGGAAAACUGCUAGAAAUGCACAUUCUCAGGCCUCACCCAAGAUCUGCUGAAUCAGAAGCUCUGGGGUGGAACCCAACAACCUGCAUUUUAACAAGCCUUCCAGAUGACUCUGAAGCAUGCUCCAUACUGAUAACUAAUGCAAUGCAUUAUGUCUUCAUGUGACCAGCAGCACCAACUGCAAGACUGUCUGUCACCUGAGUGUGGCUUGCAACCAAGCACAUGUGGGAAUUCAGUGAAGGCCCCUGCCUUGACCUCAUUAUCAACAGGAACCAGCCAAAGACAGUGGUCACUCUUUAUCCAUGUAAAUAGACACCGUAAUUUAUUUUCAAAAAAAUCCAAAGGAAAAAAUUUAAGGCCAUUGUAAUACCAGAAAUCUGCACUGUGAGUACUUGGAAGAUGACAGUUGAUAAAGCUGGGAGGUUUACAAUGACUAGAUUGUCAGAAGGGGUUAAAUGUAUGUUCUAAUAGUAAGAGAACAAGAAAAAAGAAUGACCUGGUGAUGUGUAAAUUUAAAAUACAGUGGUACAUUUUAGGAAAACCAAAAAUCAAUCCAUGAACUUUGAAAUGAAGGGAGAUAGUUCUGAGAGAUCUAGAGGAACUGGACUUGAGAUCCAAG
rnacentral:lncRNA from 10 species